rnacentral:rRNA from 1 species
CUGGCUCAGAACGAACGCUGGCGGCGCGUCUUAAGCAUGCAAGUCGGACGGGAUUACGGUGCUUGCACCGUAUGAGAGUGGCGGACUGGUGAGUAACGCGUGGGUGACGUACCCCCGUGACCGGGACAGCUCCUAGAAAUAGGAGGUAAUACCGGAUACGCUGGAUGCUGUCAGAGGGCAUACAGGAAAGCAGCCUUUGCUGCGCACAGGGAGCGGCCCGCGUACUAUUAGCUAGUUGGUGAGGUAACGGCCCACCAAGGCGAUGAUAGUUACCCGGCCUAAGAGGGUGAACGGGCACAUUGGGACUGAGAUACGGCCCAGACUCCUACGGGAGGCAGCAGCUAAGAAUAUUCCGCAAUGGGGGAAACCCUGACGGAGCGACGCCGCGUGGACGAUGAAGGCCCGGAAGGUUGUAAAGUCCUUUUUAUGACUGAUGAAUAAGGGAGGUGAGAGAAACGCCUUCUGGUGACGAUAGGUCAUGAAUAAGCAACGGCUAAUUACGUGCCAGCCGCUGC